GUGGGGUCCACGGAACGACGUCGGAUGGAGGACCACGCCAGCUCUUCUGCGCUCGCUCGGAUCAGCCUGGGGGAACACGUCGCCAUAGUCUGGAGGUAAGUCGUCGCCGACACCAACGACGGCGGAGGCAGAGGUCGAAACGACGGAAACAGGGGUCAGGAAGACGCCGUUGGUCAUUUGGAAAUGUCGGAAGAAUGGAAUUCGGGUUUUGGGUUGGAAGUGAGUGGAGGUGGGGAUUGAGGAGGAGUUGGAGAGCUUGGGGGAGAGAGUGGAAGGGAGGAGUGAGAGAGAGCUAUUCACGGCCAUUAAGAGAGAAAGUUGCAGAGUGGAAGUGUGGAUGAUGAUGAUGAUGGUGGUUGAUAUUGAUAAGCAUUCAAACAGUACAUGUGCCGACGAAGGAUGCGGAUCAGUUGUGUGUAAUACACCCCAGUAUAUAUACACUAUAUAUUAUAGUGGUUGUCUCUUUCCCAGAAGCGUGUACGAAUCACGAGUGCCAUGUGUAGUCUGGUUCUCCUAUUUAGGAUUAAGAUUGAGAAUUUGAAGAUUCAAGAAUGAGUCCUUUAAAAAAAAUGAAAAAAGAAAACAAGAAGAUAUCAUUGUGUUCCAGGCCGAAGUGGUCAGGUCCGAACCUGACGAGCAAAAACUUCAGACGGUUUACAGAUUUCCAAAUAUUGUCUAUCUAUUAAGUUGACCCGAUCCGACCCGACCUGAUGUUCAGUCCUUUUUGUUCUUUCACUUUCCUAUCUUACCCUUAGUAAUGUGGCUAUACUCCAUUUUUGCAUUUAAAAAAUUAGUAUGGCAUCGGCCUCUUUGACACGUGGGCCAGCCUUUUUUUAUACAUACACGUAAUGCCUUCGGUUUUGAUUCCUUUGGCAAGCAGGUAUUAUAUUUAAUUUUCUUCAACAGCUAUACUUUCUAAAAUCUAUUUCCUUUUUUUUUUUUGGGUAUUUCAUUAUUUAAUUAAUUAUAUACCUAGUCCACUUAGAAAAACUUCAUUGACUUUCCUGAUCUAUUUCCCUGUUUGCCUUUCACCCAAACCUUCCUAAGGCAACGAGGUUAACAAAACCACAAACUAUAUAUACACAGUUAUUAAUGGUUCGUCAGCUAAAUAUAUUUUUUUGUUAACCUAAAGCACCUCUCUAUAAGCACACUAACAAGAUGAAGAGAAAAGCUUCAGAAGUAACAAUGGAGCAGAAAGAAGCGAAGGUGUAUAAAAACAGAAGGUAUGUGAGCUUCUCAAAGAGGCGCAGCGGCCUGUUUAGCAAGGGUAAAGACUUCUGCAAAAAGUUUGAAGCAGAAAUUGGCAUUGUUGUGCUCUCUGAAGCAGGCAGGCCUUACUGGUCCCCGGACAACCCUUCCCUCGACGCCGUCCUCGACCGCUUCAUGCAAUCAGACCAGGCACCUACUAACGCCAUUGAUUUCAAGGUUAGACUACAGAAGAAGAGGAAGAGAGAGGAACCUGAUAAUGAGGUUCAGGGACAGCUUGCGGAGGAGGUGAAGUCAUGUCGAACAGUUAAGGACAUGUUUUCGUUGAGAGACAAAUACUUGGUGCUUCUUCAGGACCAUACCAACAAGAGGAUGAAAGGUUCACAUGUUUUGGAGAAGGGUGAGGCAAAAUGUGUCUCUACCUCACCAUCAAACCUAAGUUUUGAGGAUAGUGUUUGGGUGGAACCAAUUUCAAGGCAUAAAGACAUAUGUUCUAGUUCAACCCUAAAGCUUGAUAGUCAACAUGAUCACCGUCUUGGGAACAACAAUGGUGUCCGCGGCGGCCACGAUGACGGGUGGUUUUGGGAUGAGAUUUUGAAAGAUGGUUACACACAAGGUGUUCUGAAACCAAUAUCAAAAUCCGAAGACGUUUUGUAUGAUUCAACCAUAAAUUUUGAGAGUGAUCGUAAUGUGUUUGAUACUCAUCAUGGUAACAUAAAUGGGGGAGAGGGAUCUUCUUGGUGCAAAGAUUGGGAGAAUGGUAAAGCGCAAUGUGCCUUGAUGCAACCAAUUUCGAAAUCCGAAGAGGUCUUGCAUAAUUCAACCCAAAAUUUGGAGAGUAAUCGUAAUGUUUUUACUGAUCAACAUGGCAACAACAAUGACGAUUAUGGAACUUGUCGGGAUAGAAUUUUGGAAUAUGAUAAGACUCAUCAACUAGCAAAUUCUGAAGACGUCUUGUUUACUUCAACCCCAAAUUUUGAGUGUGAUCGUCUUAACAAGAAAAACGAUGGUGGCGACAACAACAUAUCUUUCUGGGACAAAAUUUUGGAAGAGGGUAAAUCGGAAUGUGUCUCUUUCCAACCAAUAUCAGAAUCCGAAGACUUCUUGUAUAAUCCAAGCCUAAAUUUCGAGAGUGAUAAUCGUGGGUUUGAUCAUUAUCAAGGUGACAACAAUAGUGGUCCGGAACUUUGUUGGAAUGAAGAAUGGGAACAUGGUAAGGUAGAGUGUGUCAAGACACAACCGAUAUCAAAAUCUGAGGACAUCUGGGCUAACACAACCCCAAAUUUUGAGAACAAUCAUGAUCAUGUUCAUGGUGGUAAAAGACAGUAAUUUUUUAGUAAGUUAGUAACCAAAAAUUUGGUGCUUUCCUGAAUAACACGUGUAUGUAUGUAUGUGCAUACAUUCAACUAAUAGAUCCUAGCACAGUUAGAAUUACACCAUUCUGAAGAGUUGUCGAAGCAGAACUACAAUAUAAUGUCAAUUUACAACCAAGAUUGUCAAAUUAUAACACAUACAAAAUUGUCACCGCAGUAAAAGUAUAUUAUAAAAUUAUUAGUGCACAAAUAAUAUGAAAAUCUCACUUGAUAUAUCUGGGUCAUUACGGAAAUCUUCAAGCUCACUUUUAAGUUCACCUUCACUCCUAAUAAGCCUCUCUGCAGCCUGACAAAGCGCUAAACUAAGAAAUAGUUUUUGGUGUAAGAAAUGAAAAACUGUUCUGAGUUAAGUGAAAGUCAUGGAAAACUGUUCACGAUGACUUUUAAGUUCACCUUCACUCCUAAAUAUCCCAACUUCAGUUUCACACAGUUCAACAUGAAAAACUGUUCUAAGAUUGCUGAAGUGAAAGUCAUGGAAAACGCACAAAGACGAGGAACAGUAAUGCUGUUCGCAUCAUUUACCUUAGCUAUCAGAGGAUCCUUUAAGUCAGCAACAGUUGAGUAAUUCACGCGGUCAGAAUCACUGCAUGAACCAGUACACCACAAUCCCAUAAGACAAAUCCAUGUAGAAACCCAUAUAAAAAAACUCAAUAUGAUGGCAGAUGCAUUAAUAAAGUUUUCCUCACACUGGUUUUGGAAGCUCUUCCUUUGUCAACAAACCAUCAUUGACAAGCUCCUCAAGAGGUAUCAACAGAGUGUUACCACAAUUUGCAUCCUGACAAAAUCCCAUGAACCAAAAUUACCCACAAAUUCAAUUGUAAAUCACAAUGAGGAUAUGCCACACUACAGCCAAUCAAAAUAUUAGGCUUUACACAAUUCACAUAUGAAAUCCAAGCUGUGUGUGUAUAUAUUAUAUAGAUAUAUAAGCAAUUGGGUAAGUUUUGACAAAAAAAAAUAAAUAUAAAGCAAUUGGGUAAGUAUAAUUUUACCUGACCAGAGUAAGGGGAGCCCUCUUCAUUGGCUUUCCUACCAGGGGGAACCAGUGGAAGCACCUGCCAGAGGGAGCACCCGGCUUCAUGAAGCCAGUCAAUGAAACGAAACGCCUCCUCCCCAAAAUCUCCAAUGCCGUGGGGUCCACGGAACGACGUCGGAUGGAGGACCACGCCAGCUCUUCUGCGCUCGCUCGGAUCUGCCUGGGGGAACACGUCGCCAUAGUCUGGAGGUAAGUCGUCGCCGACACCAACGACGGCGGAGGCGGAGGUCGAAAGGACGGAAACAGGGGUCAGGAAGACGCCGUUGGUCAUUUGGAAAUGUCGGAAGAAUGGAAUUCGGGUUUUGGGUUGGAAGUGAGUGGAGGUGGGGAUUGAGGAGGAGUUGGAGAGCUUGGGGGAGAGAGUGGAAGGGAGGAGUGAGAGAGAGCUAUUCACGGCCAUUAAGAGAGAAAGUUGCAGAGUGGAAGUGUGGAUGAUGAUGAUGAUGAUGGUG
rnacentral:lncRNA from 1 species